rnacentral:misc_RNA from 1 species
GAGAAGGCCAAGAAAAAUUCACCUAACAGAUCAUUUAAACGAAUGAGCCUCAAGGAUGGCAAUAACAGUUUGGGUUCGCGAAGUUGGAAGUAGAAAAUCCGAGAAUUGAAAAGGUUACUUGGCCUGAAAUCAUCGUAAACGCAGCUUCUUCUCUAAUAAACUCCAUUUUUUUUCAUCGUGUUCAUGUUUAUAGUUGUCGUUGUAAAUCUCAUUGAAUUGUCUUCGGCGUUAGAUUUGAACUUAGCCAUCUUUGCUGAAGCUUCAAGUUUUGGUUAGCAGAUUGCAUUCGUUUUAGUUCUGCAAAGUAGUGUAAAGAUUGCUUUGUAACAACUUGCAAUAUUCCCA